UAUGACAUUUACCACUAAAGGAGCUUCUUUAUAAUAAUACGUCCCCUUUAAACAGGCAUUUAAACUUUAAAAACAAGUCAUAGCGCACACGUACCAUUUUAUUGACGGACUUAUGAAAUGACUGAGAAUAUUUUUUUAUUAUCUUGAAAAUAAAUUCUUAUUUUUUCCACGUACCCCCUGCAAUAUGCUCACGUACCCCUAGGGGUUCACGUACCCCAAAUUGGGAAACUCUGCUAUAUAGAAUUUUCCUAUGAGAUAAAAGAUAAUACAAUUGGGGCUUAAAGAAUAAUGUGGUAAAUUUGAGUUGUGAAUUCGAAACCAACUAAGGUAAGCAAUAGACAAAAAAGAAAUAAAGAAACACUUUUUACUCACGUUCAAACAAGACCACCAGCAGUGUGGUGGGGGAAAAGCACAUUAUCAGCAAAGGGCUGUUUAAUUUCGUUUAGCAAAUCUCAAAGAUGACGAUAAGAAAACCGAUUUUACUUUUGGUCAGUGAAUGCAACACACCCCGAGGCGGCACAGCGGUCUCUUUGAACUCCUUUGAACAGAACGUCGCUGAAUCUGACCUCUAAGACUCAUGAGUGACGUGGACUACAGCAGCUACUUUUUGGAGUCCUGGACAUCACCUGAAAGUAGAAAAAGGAAAAAAGGCCUGAAAAAGCGAAAAAAAGACAAAAACAGCUUGAAAAAUCAGGAUGUUUGCCAGAAGAAAAAGAAAAAGAAGAACGUGGAAAAUAAAGAGUCAAAGGAAGUGAGUCAACGAAAGAAGAAAAAGAAAAAAAGACCUAUUUUGGAGCUCAAUGAUGGAGCUGGUGGUCAAAUUGAAUACUGGCCAAAAGCCAAAUCGGCAGAAAUUCAGAAACAUCAAUCCAAAGAGGCAAAUCUGGAUCAUCUUACUCAAGACUCCACAAAAAAAGGAAAAAGAAAAUUGAAAGUAGCAUUUAAUUUACCAACAGCAUGUGCUAAACAUUCCAAAGAAUCAACUCCAGAGGCGUCACAAGCAGCUCAUGAUUAUCAACAAGACUACUCUCCGUGCAACAGCGAUGACCUUAACAGCCAGGACCUGUUUAUCACCCAGAAGAUGUUCAGACCAUCACCUCCUGAGUCAUCCAGCGGUGAAGCCAGUGAGAAGGGUCUCACAGCAUCUCCACAGCAAUGUGAAGACACACAAGAGAACAACGAAGUAGCAAAAACUCCUCCUUGUGUUUCUCCAAACAGAAGCAAGUCACUUCAUAAAUGUGUGCAGGCAACCGGGAAGAAAUUAACGCUUCUCUCAAAAAGACAGUUUAAAUGUAGUCUCACAAAAGCCAGAAAACCGUCACGUCCACAACAUGUGAAGCCUCAAGUGACAAAUGUAUUCCUUAGUGAGCCCAUUGUUGUCAACUCCUCACCAGAUGUAGCAAAUAAUAACAAAUCCACUUCAAUCCAGUGUCCGUCUCUACACGCCAACGCACCACAACUGGCCACCACUUGGACACAAACGGAAAACUUUUUUACCACUGAGCUCUCGUCUUAUCUCAGCAUCUGCCAGAAAACUAAAUCCACUUCAUCCCUAGAGGAACUCAGGCCAUUAGACCUGAGCCUGCCGCACAGGGAGAGAAAAAACCUGGGGAGCUGUUUCAUACCUGAGGUCCGACACCAAGCUCUAACGCAAAUUGAAGAGAACAAAAGUGCCAGUAAUUCAUGGUCAUCUGAUCUUGGUCAUGAAGUAGAAGUAGGAAAAGAGACCUUAGAUGGAGCUAAAACCAUGCUGAGCACAGAGUUAAGGUUUGAGGCCAAGUGUGGUGACACAACAACUUCCAGUGAGGAAAACGAGAAUUCCAAUCGUUUCUACAAGCUGGACCUGACCCAGGUCAGGGCUGUCCAGAUGAGACUCAAUGAGUCUUUUUUUUUCAAGACCAAAGGAGAGCCCCAGUCGCCCCGCCCUGAUUCACCACUGAUGAAACUCUCCCAGGGCAGAAAAGUCAAAGGCAGGAAAAAACAUUGAUUGGAAAAGAAGCAGGGAGUUUAAGGAGACCACAGAUUUGUUGGCUCGAGUUUAAAGUUGACUUUAAAGCUCUUUCUUCCAAGAUGCAAGUUUGAUGUUCACUUUGUGUUAAAUUUGACCUCCUCUUUCCGAACUCAACCACUGAACACAUUUGGUUCCAGGUUCCAUUUGUUGUAAUGUUUAUGUUAAGUUUGAAUUACAAUCAAG
ensembl:lncRNA